rnacentral:rRNA from 1 species
GGAUACUUCGUCGCUGGGGCGCGGGUAAGAUGAGGUGGGUAGGUGUUAUCUGGAAUUGUUGGGCGUAAGGCGUGUGGCGGUUGUUUGGUAAGGCUUGUGUGAGAGCCCUGGGCGCAACGUGUGAAUUGCAUCGUAUACUGGCAGGCUAGAGUGCGGUAGGGGGUAGUGGAAUUCCCGGUGUAGCAGUGAAAAUCGGAGAGAUCGGGAGGAACAUCCGUGGCGAAGGCGACUACCUGGACCAGCACUGACACUGAGGCACGAAAGCGUGGGGAGCAAACAGGAUUAGAUACCCCAGUAGUC